AUGGAUGAUGACGAGACUGAUGAGCAGGAGUUCCAGAAAGCCACAGAGGUCCUGUGUGUUGACGGCGGUGCUUCUCUGCAUACUUCACACCGCCAGCUCAAGCAGUGGGUGCGGGAAGUCAAUGCGGCAGAACCACCCGUCGAGUCACGCAAGCCUCUGAAAUGGUCCAGCACGCCUAUCAUCUUUAAUAUUGAGGACCACUCUGAUCGCAUAACUGCGGUCGGGUGCUUGCUGAUGUUGGUUUCACCAACUAUCCGCAACCUCAAGGUCACUAAGAUGCUAGUUGACGGCGGGGCCGGCUUGAACCUGAUCUCCUCCGCGGUACUCCAGAAACUCCAGAUCCCUGACAGCGAGCUCGAAGAGACCGGCACAUUCCAAAGAAUCAAUCCGGAAAGGAGCAAGCCGAAGGGGAAGAUCACGUUGCCAGUGACAUUUGGCAGCGAGUUAAACUUCAGGACUGAGAGGGUCACUUUUGACGUUGCUGACUUUCCAUUGCCUUACAAUGGGAUACUCGGCCGUCCAGCACUCGCCAAAUUCAUGGCAGCCUCCCACUAUGCAUACAACAUGCUAAAGAUGCCAGGCCCGAUAAGUGUCAUCUCUAUCCCUGGCGACAAGAAGGAUGCUCUUAUCUGCGCCGACAAGAUCUACCGGGAAGCAGCAGCCGCAAUGGAUCGCAAGUCACUUGCCGCUGAAGCUCCCGGGGGGAAGAAAAAGACCAAGUUCGGCAAGAGUUCUGAUGCCCACUCCGGCAAGAGUUCUGAUGCCCACUCCGGCAAGCGCACCUCUUCGGAGUGCUGCGCUACCGUCGAGGACGCACCAUUGAGCUUCACCGGCAAGUGUAAGAAGACAAUGGUAGCUCCACCAGAGACCAAGAAAGUGUCCGCCAAGGAGGACGGCACUGGUGGUACCUUCACCAUCAGUGCCACUCUCGACCCUAAAUAG
rnacentral:rRNA from 1 species